AUUGAACGCUGGCGGCAUGCUUUACACAUGCAAGUCGAACGGCAGCGCGGGCUUCGGCCUGGCGGCGAGUGGCGAACGGGUGAGUAAUGCAUCGGAACGUGCCCAGUAGUGGGGGAUAGCCCGGCGAAAGCCGGAUUAAUACCGCAUACGACCUGAGGGUGAAAGCGGGGGACCGAAAGGCCUCGCGCUAUUGGAGAGGCCGAUGUCGGAUUAGCUAGUUGGUGGGGCAAAGGCUUACCAGGGCGACGAUCCGUAGCUAGUCUUAGAGGACGACCAGCCAUACUGGGACAUAGACACGGCCCAGAGUCCUAAGGGAGGCAGCAGUGGGGAAUUUUGGACAAUGGGGGCAACCCUGAUCCAGCCAUGCCGCGUGCGGGAAGAAGACCUUCGGGUUGUAAACCGCUUUUGUUCGGGAAGAAAUCCUCUGGGCUAAUACCCCGGGGGGAUGACGGUACCGGAAGAAUAAGCACCGGCUAACUACGUG
rnacentral:rRNA from 1 species